rnacentral:rRNA from 2 species
AACAGCUCAAAUUUGAAAUCUGGCCCUUCCGGGGUCCGAGUUGUAAUUUGUAGAGAGUGCUUCGGGGGAGAGUGCGGUCUAAGUCCAUUGGAACAUGGUGUCAUAGAGGGUGAGAAUCCCGUACGUGACCGCGGAUCGAACCCGUGUGAAGCCUCUUCGACGAGUCGAGUUGUUUGGGAAUGCAGCUCAAAAUGGGUGGUAAAUUUCAUCUAAAGCUAAAUACUGGCUGGAGACCGAUAGCGCACAAGUAGAGUGAUCGAAAGAUGAAAAGCACUUUGGAAAGAGAGUUAAACAGUACGUGAAAUUGUUGAAAGGGAAGCGCUGGCAACCAGACCUGCCCGUAGGCGAUCAACCGCUGUUCUCAGCGGUGCACUCGUUCUGCGAUCAGGCCAGCAUCGGUUUCGGCGGUCGGAUAAAGGCCUUGGGAAUGUAGCUUCCUUUCGGGGGAGUCUUAUAGCCCUCGGUGCAAUGCGGCCAGCCGGGACCGAGGACCGCGCUUCGGCUAGGAUGCUGGCGUAAUGGUUGUCAGCGACC